rnacentral:tRNA from 1 species
GCCGCUAUAGCUCAGGGCUUUGAGCGUUGGGCUCGUAAACCAAGGUCGCAAGUUCGAAUCUUGUUGGCGGCA